GUCGACGGUGAAGAGGAGCUUGCUCCUUGGAUCAGUGGCGAACGGGUGAGUAACACGUGAGCAAUCUGCCCUUGACUCUGGGAUAACUGCGGGAAACUGUAGCUAAUACCGGAUAUUACCUUGGAAGGCAUCUUCUGGGGUGGAAAGAAUUUUGGUCAAGGAUGAGCUCGCGGCCUAUCAGCUAGUUGGUGAGGUAAUGGCUCACCAAGGCGACGACGGGUAGCCGGCCUGAGAGGGUGACCGGCCACACUGGGACUGAGACACGGCCCAGACUCCUACGGGAGGCAGCAGUGGGGAAUAUUGCACAAUGGGCGCAAGCCUGAUGCAGCAACGCCGCGUGAGGGACGACGGCCUUCGGGUUGUAAACCUCUUUUAGUAGGGAAGAAGCGACUGGGUUUUCCUGGGAGUGACGGUACCUGCAGAAAAAGCACCGGCUAACUACGUGCCAGCAGCCGCGGUAAUACGUAGGGUGCAAGCGUUGUCCGGAAUUAUUGGGCGUAAAGAGCUCGUAGGCGGUUUGUCGCGUCUGCUGUGAAAACCCGAGGCUCAACCUCGGGCCUGCAGUGGGUACGGGCAGACUAGAGUGCGGUAGGGGAGAUUGGAAUUCCUGGUGUAGCGGUGGAAUGCGCAGAUAUCAGGAGGAACACCAAUGGCGAAGGCAGAUCUCUGGGCCGUAACUGACGCUGAGGAGCGAAAGCAUGGGGAGCGAACAGGAUUAGAUACCCUGGUAGUCCAUGCCGUAAACGUUGGGAACUAGAUGUGGGGACCAU
rnacentral:rRNA from 1 species